AAAAGUCUUUUCAAGUCACUUAAUACCUUACAGCCCAAACCGUUUAAAAAGUGUCGCAUCAACUAAUAGUCAGGAAUGACGGCCGUUGGUAACACCGUGUUGUGUUGCCAUGUCUGCUUAUUCCCCUCAAAAAAAAAUUUGCUUGUUUUUGUCUUGUUUCUGGAGGUCUGUUAACUUAUUUCUCUCACCAAACUUGGCAACACUGUCUCAAACUCUAGCCUCCCUCAUAACGACAACACCGGGAGGACUGAACAUAAAUCGCUCGCUGGUAUUGCCCGCCUGUUUCCACGUGUUUCCUCGUGUCUCUCUUUUGUUUUGUUUUGGAACAGUGAAUUAGAGAAUCAGUUUAAUGUUUAAUUGUAUUUGAGUCUUCCUUAUUUUUGUGCACAUUGUUUAAGUUUCCAGUUAUUGAAGUUUAUCUGAUUAUUUUUUGUAUGACAUGUAAAAUAGUUUGGUUAAAGCUGCACUAUGUAACUUAACACAAACAAGAACCCUUGUUUAAUAAUAAAUGCAAAUAGGGAAAAAUGCUCAUGAUUUAUGUAAAUCUUUACAAAUAACAAAUGGUUUAUGGCUUUGA